rnacentral:rRNA from 1 species
UUGACCUCAAAUCAGGUAGGACUACCCGCUGAACUUAAGCAUAUCAAUAAGCGGAGGAAAAGAAACUAACAAGGAUUCCCCUAGUAACUGCGAGUGAAGAGGGAAGAGCUCAAAUUUGAAAUCUGGCAGUGUUUUGCUGUCCGAGUUGUAAUCUAGAGAAGUGCUGCCCGUGCUGGACCAUGUACAAGUCUCCUGGAAUGGAGCGUCACAGAGGGUGAGAAUCCCGUCUUUGACAUGGACUGCCAGUGCAUUUGUGGUGUGCUCUCAAAGAGUCGAGUUGUUUGGGAAUGCAGCUCUAAAUGGGUGGUAAACUCCAUCUAAAGCUAAAUAUUGGCGAGAGACCGAUAGCGAACAAGUACCGUGAGGGAAAGAUGAAAAGAACUUUGGAAAGAGAGUUAAACAGUAUGUGAAAUUGUUGAAAGGGAAACGCUUAAAGUCAGUCGUGUCGGCCAGGGAUCAACUCAGUAUUAUCUGCUGGGUGUACUUCCUGAUCUGAUGGGCCAACAUCAGUUUUGACUGCUGGAGAAGGAUAGAGGGAAUGUGGCACCUUCGGGUGUGUUAUAGCUCUCUGUCGGAUGCAGUGGUUGGGACUGAGGAAAGCAGCAUGCCGCAAGGCCGGGUCGUUUCGACCACGUUCAUGCUGAGGAUGUUGGCAUAAUGGCUUUAAUCGACCCGUCUUGAAACACGGACCAAGGAGUCUAACAUGCCUGCGAGUGUUUGGGUGGCAAACCCGAGUGCGGAAUGAAAGUGAAAGGUUGAGAUCCCUGUCAUGGGGAGCAUCGACGCCCGGACCUGAGCACAUUGCAAAGGAUCUGCGGUAGAGCAUGUAUGUUAGGACCCGAAAGAUGGUGAACUAUGCCUGAAUAGGGUGAAGCCAGAGGAAAYUYUGGUGGAGGYUGGUAGCGAUUCUGACGUGCAAAUCGAUCGUSGAAUUUGGGUAUAGGGGCGAAAGACUAAUCG